rnacentral:rRNA from 1 species
AGAUGCCGACUACCCGCACCAAGACGGAAAGACCCCGGAAGCUUUACUGUAGCUUGAUAUUGGUCUGCGAGUUGUUAUACGUAGCGUAGUGAGUAGGAUUUGAAGCGUCUCUCUCGGGAGAUGUGGAUCCGCCGAUGAAACAC